CACUUGAUUUUAAACUGGUCUCCUGUCUACUGUUUGCAACUGCCCAGGGUGCCGUUCCCCUAACCGAACUUAUCUAAGAUCAAUCUUAGCAAGUUACGCCAAGUUUACAAUCGUCUUUGCUAAAAGUUAUGCUUGUUCCAUUAACCGAUCUUAGUCCGAUCGUAGCCAAUCCCAAUCUUACGAUCUGAUUGUAGCUAACAUCAAGACUCUUUCAUGCGAGAGAUAGAUAAAAAAAUAUGAUGGAGGUAGUUUUGGAACCAAGUGGAGACGUGGAGACGAAAGCGAAAAAGAACAGUUUUAGGGUAGAGAGCAUUUUGGUUUCAGGGGCAAGUGUGCGUGAACGCUGGGUAUUUGGCAUAACCUUGUGGCUGAACCUUGUC